rnacentral:snRNA from 1 species
GGAUGUGAGGGUGAGCUGUCUGAAACAUCUGUCACCCCAUUGGUCGCCAGGGCUGGUUUAGCUGAUCUGGCUGGCUAGGCUAGUGUCCCCUUUGUCACCAUUCUGUGUUUGGCUCUCCAGAAGUUGCAUGUUCAGUUUAAGAGAAUGGCCUUCCCCAAAUAGAGGAGGUGAGGUGUUCAAUCAAGGGUAAACGAUCGCUGCACUCCCCUGCCAGAACGUCCAGACGAGCUCUCAAAGGGUCCCCCGAGUGAAGUCUUUUAGAAGAUUUAUUUUGUUUAGUUUGUGCAUGUGUUUUCCUGAAAGUAUGUGUGUGCAC